UACGUAGGGUGCAAGCGUUAAUCGGAAUUACUGGGCGUAAAGCGUGCGCAGGCGGUGAUGUAAGACAGGUGUGAAAUCCCCGGGCUUAACCCUGGGAACUGCAUUUGUGACUGCAUCGCUGGAGUGCGGCAGAGGGGGAUGGAAUCCGGCGUGUAGCAGUGAAAUGCGUAGAUAUGCGGAGGAACACCGAUGGCGAAGGGCAAUCCCCUGGGCCUGGCACAUGA
rnacentral:rRNA from 1 species